GGGACGCAUGAGGCAUCCGCCCAAAAACCUCUCGGCCUCUCUCGUCCUACAGUACAAGGGGGCAAAAAACGGUGACACCAGGGAGGCGCCCUCUGGCGCCGGAUCCGGCGUUUCCCUUCCUAUUUAAUGCCGGGCAGCUGAGGGGAACUGGAAUCCCUGCGUGGAGGUGUGCACAGGGUUAGGUUUUCGUCGCCGUGGCUUCGGAGAUGGUAGCGAGUGGAAUAAGGGAUGGCCGGGCUUCUCCCCGUCCGUACGGCGUCAGAUACGGUGCCCGCGAGGAGUCGGAGACCUUUUGUAUCGCGGAUCCGGUCGACCGGAGCCUGUGGUGGUGAUUCUCUUCACUGGAAACUGCGCCGGCGAUGGUGGCAGCUCCCGGCGAGGCGACGGUUGUUGGGGCUUCAGUCCCUGUUUGUUUGGGGGACGAGGUUUGCAGCAGUUCUUCAUCCUUUGCGUCUCCGGCGAGCUGGAGUCUUGGUGGAGGCAUGGAGCCAUCCAAUCUGUGGAGAUUAUCCCCGGCCGAUGCGCCCGAACCCGACCUUUGUUCCUGUUCGCUGGACAGGAUCUACAUGCGGCCUCCAAAGCCUUUGAAGGCGAUGCACUAUGCAGAUGGAUGGUUUCUCGACGGCGGUUCGAGUAGACGGUGAGCGGCCGACCGGCUUGAUGGCAGCGGUGAGCGGCGUAUUUUUCUGUUUCGGUGAGAUUUCUUCAUCUUUGUGUCUCAUGUACGCAUGCGUACUGUUCUUUUUGCUGGAUGCAUGAGUGGCGUGUUCUGUUUGCUGUAUAAAUGCCUGGACAGCUGAUGAAGGUGUCCGAUUUGCUCGCAUGCUGCCAUCAUGGGUGUUUGUUGUAGAGAGAUCGGGGGAUUUUGUUGUUGUUGAGAAAAGGACACAUACACCUCAUGUAUUCAUCCAGCAAACGAGACGGUACAUAUGCGUAUAUGAGAACAGUACCUUCAUUGGAGGAACCGAACGGGUGAUCUAUGUGUUUUCGUAUGCAAUUGAUUGGCUACAACAACAAAAACUCUUGAUUUUUUGGUUGAAAUAAUUUAUAAAGCUGUCGGAUGCACUGCUACUAAUCUUCCUUCAGCCAGAUAUCUCACUCAUCUUGAUCCUCCAAGUCAUUUUUUUCUUAGUCAGGUUUUAUGUUUAGACAACUAGAUUUAUGUGAAAUUGUACCUUGACAUGUUUUUUUUGCAUGAAGGUCAUUGCUACAGAUGUCAAAUAAAUUUACCAUAUGUAUGUACUAUAGUCUGCUCUUGCAAUCAUCUGCCAGAGUUAGGAAACAUCUGCGCCCUCAACGCCAUGUGGAACAUGUUUAAUUCCUCUCUCUGUAUGAGGCAUCUCAAAGUAAGGACAUGUUGUCACUUCCAGGUUCCAGCCAAACAAGCAGUGAGAGUGUUGUCAUUAUCCUUUGGAACACUGCUUUAUAGUCCAACUAUCCUUAGAGAAGCGACCUCACAAGAUAAUACAUCAGCAGUCAGUGUAGUUGCUUCUGACGAUACAGAAAAAAAUUCAAACGAGAAACCCCGGUACAAAAUAAAAAGUCGAAUUUACUGAAGAUGCUAGCAGCAAAUUCAAAAGGCCGUUUACAGAUAACAAUGAACACGUACAAAUCACCAUUACUGACAGAAAAUCAACAAAUCAACAUCCUACGAGGUAAAUCCUAUCAUUCUUCCAUACAUUUAUAGAAGAAAAUUAAAAUACAUAUUCUGAUUUGACAUGACCUUCUAUUCCCACUAUUAAACCACAACAGCAGAAAGAAUUUGAUCUUACUCAGAAUUCCUCCGGUGCAGCAUGCAUCUAAUUGUUCAUGAUUUGUUUAUUUUUCUACAUCAAUUGUUCCACCUUUGAAAAUCAUAUGCUUGAUAUUCUUAAAUGAACCUUUGCUACAUAUAAAUUAUUAAAAUUACCUAAGUUUCUUCGGUUUAAGAUUAGGUAGAUUCUUUAUUAAGUGGUAGCUCUAAGAGUUUUUAGGACCACCAGUACACAAGACACCUAUUGUCUUUGAAUUAAAAUAACCUGAAAGAAUGGCACUUGAUAGAAACAACACAAGGCACUAUGGUACAUACAUCUAUGUCAAGAUGUGUAUCAAAAUUUUCUGUGUCUUUAUGUGGCACUGCAAGAACGACGGGAAACAUUUGAGGACAGGCAAAGUAAUGCCAGAAGAAAAAAAUAUCUACAAAGGUAUUAUCUAACAGAAUGAACCAGUUCUUCAGAAUGAACACACUCAUGGUACGAUCCACUUAAUACCGUCCUAAUAAUACUGCAACGUUUACACAUUGUAGGGUAGGCUAUGCUACAAUAGAGAUACAUGCUUCAUUUUCUUCCAUGCCAGUUACCUAUAUAUAGUAGUAUAAAUAAUUGCUAUCUUGAUCGCCACCUAUUCUUCAGCGGUAUAAAAUUACAAAAGUAUCAUCAUGUUGGACUACAUGUAUCUACAUCAACUGUUAUCAUGCACAUAUUUUCUGGAAACCUCCAUUGUGAGGCAUUUGGUGUCCUCUUCACCUUACCUUAAUGUACACCGCCAGCUAUGCAUUAUGUGCAAGACUGCUGUACUGUUUUAUUACUUGAGAUUUUUUUUCGUGUCCUUUCUUAGGAAAUUCCUGAAAAAAGUCCCGCAGCAACGCGCGGGGCAUCAUCUAGUUUAAUUAAUGCACAUAUACUUGGUAAAGGGUGGAAGGCUCGACCUUUUGCCUAGCAUUUUGUUCCACUCUUGACACCCUAGUUUGCCUCAUACCGGUGUUAUGUUCCUUGAUAUUGUGUCCCCAACACGAUGAGCGUUAUGGGGCCAUCUUGACAGUUCGCUGAUAAAACUCUUCCAUCAAGGCUCAACAUUGGUUUUAACAUUUUCCAUAAUAAUACUUGAACUAAAUAAUAAAGUGGCAUAGGGCGUCGUGAACCCAAGUAUUUUUCUACAUAGUAGGGGGACAGUGCUGAUAGUCGGAUGUUGUUCUCAUGUAUGAUGUUCAUGUAUUCGGUGGCAUUGUAUGUCUUUUGUAUGUAUCCCCAUCUAUUAUGUAAUGGUACGAUGCAAUGAUAUCCACCAUGAAAAAUUGUCU